GAUGAACGCUGGCGGCGUGCCUAAUACAUGCAAGUCGAGCGAACAGAUGAGGAGCUUUCUCCUUUGACGUUAGCGGGGGACGGGCGAGUAACACGUGGAUAACCUACUUCUAUGACUGGGAUAAUUACGGGAAACCGGAUCUAAUACUGCAGAAUAUAUCCAACGGCUGGGUUCAAGAGUGAAUGAGGGCUUUCGUGUCUGUAUUAGAUGGAGCCGGGCCGCAUUAGCUAGUUGGUAAGGUAACGGCUUACCAAGGCAACGAUGCGUAGCCGACCUGAGAGGGUGAUCAGCCACACUGGAACUGAGACACGGUCCAGACUCCUACGGGAGGCAGCAGUAGGGAAUCUUGCGCAAUGGGCGAAAGCUUGACGGAGCAACGCCGCGUGAGUGAUGAAGGUCUUCGGAUCGUAAAACUCUGUUAUUAGGAAAGAACAAAUGUGUAAGUAACUAUGCACGUCUUGACGGUACCUAAUCAGAAAGCCACGGCUAACUACGUG
rnacentral:rRNA from 1 species